rnacentral:tRNA from 3 species
GGCGGGUUGCCGGAGCGGUCGAACGGGCCCGACUGUAAAUCGGGCGCAUCACGCCACGCAGGUUCGAAUCCUGCGCCCGCCACAA